rnacentral:lncRNA from 1 species
AUAUAUACACAAGGAUGUUUAUUGCAGCAUUGUUCAUAGUGGGGAAAAAAGAAACUGGAAAUUGUGAAUGCCCAUCUGCAGAAAUGAUUGAAUAAAUUAUAAUACACCAUAAACGACAAUCCAUUCAUUCCGAAUGAACUGCAGAAAUUUCCAUAAGGUAUUUGAGUGAAAGAAAAGCAAGUUGCAGAAAAGUAGCUAUAACAUACUGCAGUUGUGUUUAAAAAAUAAAAAGACACCAUAUAUAAUGUGUGUGUGUAGGUCUUUAAAUAUUUUGUCUAUACACAACUUAUGCAAGCAUGGAGAGAAAUAUGGAAGGUUACAAACAGGUAGCAUGAGUUGGGGGUGAGGUGGGGAAUGAUGAUGCUAGGGAAUGGGUAACCAAAGAAAAUUUAAAAGAAAUUAAGAAUUCACUUUUAAAAACUGGGCAUUUGUUACCACAUUUUUGCAUUUAUGUAAAAUCUUUAAAAAGAAAUAUACAAAGAAAAAAGAUAAAGGAGAAAGUGUAAAAACAGAAUGACUGUUUUGAGAUGGUAGAAAAUCCUUACCUGUAGAAAAUAUCACAAAACAUCAAUAGUUAACUAUGUCAUAUUGGUGCUUAAAUGAGAAGCAUAAGAACUGGAAAGUGUCCAUUAGAUUUGGCAAUAUCCAUGAAGCUGGUGACAAAAUUGACAAAAUCAAUCUGAAUGAACUGAAGCAGAAGGCAUAUUAAAGUGGGUGGAGAGUUAGUAAGGUUAAGAGUAAAGGUGGAAAAAGGAAUGCUGACAGUUCUCUUGCUAAUGACAACUAAAAAAAAAAAAUCAAUAAAAAUAUAAAAUAUAACUUCUUAAAGGCACCAGAAAGCUGAAAAGGCAGUGAUGAAUUUCUAUGCCAAGACGUAACAGAAGACAAACUUGUGAGCCAGGCAUUUGAAACCACUUAACCCUCGGAAUGUUUACUGAUUCUACAAGAGGUAAAAAGAUUAAACAGCAUUUUUGAUAGCUUAGCAUGGCUAGGAAGACACAACCUGGGGUUGACAAAAGCUAAUGCUGGCAAACUCUAGCAAAAUUCCCACAUUUUGAGUUGAGACCCCAAGAGCAUCACUUAAGAAAUAAUAGAGUUGAUUUGUUUUUGAAAUCAGAAUUACCUUUGAUGGGAGUAUGCAGCAUAAAUAAAUAUACAAGCAAAUGAGACAUGACAACAUGAACUGGUGUUAGCAAAAUUAAUGAAGCAAUAGAAACACACCCACAGGAGCUGCAGUUGCGGUUUAAGAGUUCACUAGAUGUACAGCUUGACAUACUAUGUUUAAAAUGUUCAAGACAAUACAGACAACUCUGGGAAUUUCAAAGGGAGCUAGGGAUAAAAAGAAUAAUUUAAAAAGAACUGAACCAAAUUUGUAAAAUUGAAAAAUACACAAUGAAAUUAAUAACUCAAUAUCAGAACAAUACUAAACUGGAAAACAAGGAAAUAUCUAGAAAAAAAAUACAAAGAGAUUAUAGAGGGGAAAAUUAUAAAUAGAGACUGCACAAUUAGCAAUUAAAGGUCAAAUAAGUAUAAAUGGAGUUCCAAAAGGAGAAUUAUGCAGACGUAGAUUGGAAGAUAAUUUUCUAAAUGGUGAAAGGUAGUAAGCUAUAGACUCAAGAGGUUCUGCAGACACUAAACAGGGAGAAUACAAAAAACUAAAGACAAAAUAAAACACCCCAGGCAUAUCAUAGUAAAACUGCUAAAAGACAAACAGAAAAACUUUUAAAAAGCAGUUAGUAGAAAAAAUACAUACUAAAAUGUUACCUUUUCAGUAGAAAAGAAUGGAUUUUUCAAAAAAAAAAAUCCCUUCAACAUGCUAAAAAGAAAUAACUACCAAUCUAAAUUUUUAUACCGGGAUCCCUGGGUGGCACAGCGGUUUGGCGCCUGCCUUUGGCCCAGGGCGCGAUCCUGGAGACCCGGGAUCAAAUCCCACGUCGGGCUCCCGGUGCAUGGAGCCUGCUUCUCCCUCUGCCUAUGUCUCUGCCUCUCUCUCUCUGUGACUAUCAUAAAUAAUAAAUAAAAUUAAAAAAAAUAUUAAAAAAUAUUUUUUAUACCCAGCAAAACUACCAUUUAUUAUCAGGCAAACAAAAGUUUGAUGAAAUUAAUCAAGAGUAGAACAACUGAAAGAAAUACUAAGGGUUUUUCUUUGGUCUAAGAAAAAAAAAAAAAAAAGAUCCCCAAUGAAAACUUGAAAAUGUGAUAAAAAGGAUGAAAAGCAAUGAUAAUGGUAAAAAUGUAUAUACAGAUCUUCCUUAUGAUGGGGUUAUGUCCCAAUAAACUCACUGUAAUUUGGAAAUAUCGUAAGUCAAAAAUGCAUUUAAAACCAACUAAACAUCAUAGCUUAGCCUGCCUUCAACAUGCUGAGAACACUUAUAUUAACCUAUAGCUGGGCAAAAACUUUUAACACAAAGCCUAUUUUAUAAUAAAGUGUUGAAUGUCUCAUGUAAUUUAUUCAGUACUGUCCUGAAAGUGACAGAAUGUUUGUAAGCUUUCUAAUUGUUUACAACAUGAUGACAUGCCUGAAUGGGAGCCGUGGCUUGCUGCUACUGCCAGGAACACAUGAGUGUAUCACACUACAGUAUCAGUAGCCCAGGAAAAGAGCAAAACUCAAAACACAAAGUAUAGUUUCUACUGAUUGGUAUUGAUUUCACAUUGUCAUAAGGUUGAAAAAUUUUAAGUCAAACCAUCAUUGUCAGGGACCAUCUUUAUGGCUAAAUGCAUAGCGGUUGUAUAAAACAAUACUUUCUUGUUGGAGUUAAUAAUGAUCUAUAAUUAAAAUCCAACAACAAUAGCAUAUGGGUUGGGAGAGAAGUGAAGAUUUAUUUGCACUGUCUGGGAAAAUGAUAAAAGUACCAAGUAACAUUAGAGAAGGAUAAGUCUAGUAUGUGAGCUGUAACCUAGUGUAUCAAUAAAAGAAUGGUAAAAAAGUGUGAUUUCCAAAUUAAUAGAAAACUAAAUAUUUCUAGAAAAUAUAUUUUCUAACUAUUUAGUUUCUUUCUAAAACUAAAAAGAAAAUCAUAGAAAAAGGAGCACACACACACACACACACACAAACACACACACAAAGCCAGAAAAAAAUAAAACUACAUAGUAAGAUGGUUUACUUAACCCCAAAUAUAUUGGCAAUUACAUUAAAUGUAAAUGUGAAUGUUUAAAUUAACAGGUAAGGAGGGUUAAAUGGAUUUAAAAAACAAAAAACAAAAACAAACAAAAAACAAAAACAAAAACAAAACCCCAAAACUACAUGCUAUUUACAAGAGAGACAUUUGUAAGGUUUAUAAAAGGUUUAAAGAAAAAAGCACACCAUGCAACCACUAGCCAAAUGAAAGCUGACACACAUCAAAGCAAAAAGCAUUGCCAGAAACACAGAGAACACUUAAAAAAAUUUUUUUAAAUGGUUCAAUUCACCAGGGAUACAAAUCAACUCUAAAUUUAUAAGCAACUAAUAAUAUUGCCUCAAAUUAUAAAAACUGAUAUAACCAGAAUAGGCAAAUUCAAAAUCAUAGUGGGAUAUUCUAACUUACCUCAUAAAUACUCAAUAUAUAUAUAAAUUUAAACAACAGAAUUGAUCUAAUGAAUGUAUGUAGGACACUUAAUAACUGCAGUAUAUGGAUUUUUUCUCAUGCAUACUGAACAAAUUGACCAUAUUGUGAGUCAUAAAAGAAAGCCUCACAAAUUUGAACAAUUGAAAUGACAGGUUUGUUCUCUGAAUGCCAUGCAAUCAAUCUAAAAAUCAACAAAGUGGUAAUGAGAAAAUCCACAUGUAUUUGGAAAUAAAUAUAUUUCUAAAUAAUCAGUAAGUCACACAGAAAGAAAAAUGGAGAUUAGAACAUACAUUUUACUGAAUGGUGAUGAAAAGACUUCAUCUCAAAAUUUAUGGGAUGCAGAUAAAGAUUG